UGGGGAAUUUUGGACAAUGGGCGAAAGCCUGAUCCAGCAAUGCCGCGUGUGUGAAGAAGGCCUUCGGGUUGUAAAGCACUUUUGUCCGGAAAGAAAUCCUUGGCUCUAAUACAGUCGGGGGAUGACGGUACCGGAAGAAUAAGCACCGGCUAACUACGUGCCAGCAGCCGCGGUAAUACGUAGGGUGCAAGCGUUAAUCGGAAUUACUGGGCGUAAAGCGUGCGCAGGCGGUUUGCUAAGACCGAUGUGAAAUCCCCGGGCUCAACCUGGGAACUGCAUUGGUGACUGGCAGGCUAGAGUAUGGCAGAGGGGGGUAGAAUUCCACGUGUAGCAGUGAAAUGCGUAGAGAUGUGGAGGAAUACCGAUGGCGAAGGCAGCCCCCUGGGCCAAAUACUGACGCUCAUGCACGAAAGCGUGGGGAGCAAACAGGAUUAGAUACCCUGGUAGUCCACGCCCUAAACGAUGUCAACUAGUUGUGGGGAUUCAUUUCCUUAGUAACGUAGCUAACGCGUGAAGUUGACCGCCUGGGGAGUACGGUCGCAAGAUUAAAACUUAAAUGAA
rnacentral:rRNA from 1 species